GUAAUAGAGCUGUAAAAGAGCUUGAGCAUAUCUUCAUUCGUGGCAGCAAAGUCAGGUUUAUGGUCAUACCAGACAUCCUCAAGCAUGCUCCCAUGUUCAAGCGCUUAGAUGCUCGAAUCAAGGUAUCUGCUUUCUGAUACCCUUGAUGUUAGCGUCUCUAUAUAAUACUUUAAUUGAUGCAGGGAAAGUGCGGAUCACUGGGUGUUGGCAGAGGUAGAGCUGCAAUGCGAGGAAAAGCUCCUGCUACUGGACGUGGAACCGGAGGAAGAGGAGCUGUACCACCUGUGAGGAGAUGAUCCGUCAACAUAUUCUGUGACUAAGCCAGCCUCUCCUGCUUUUGCUAUGUAUUACUUUAAGGUUCACUUGUUAAAACGAAUAUUAUCCUCUUAACAAGUAGAAGGCUAACUAGAGUGAAAGA